rnacentral:tRNA from 1 species
ACAGUGGUGCUUCAGUGGUAGAAUCUUCACCUUCCAUGUGGGAGACCUGGGUUCGAUUCCAGCCAAUGCG